CAGUAGCCGCGGUAAUACGAAGGGGGCUAGCGUUGUUCGGAAUUACUGGGCGUAAAGCGCACGUAGGCGGACAUUUAAGUCAGGGGUGAAAUCCCGGGGCUCAACCCCGGAACUGCCUUUGAUACUGGGUGUCUAGAGUAUGGAAGAGGUGAGUGGAAUUCCGAGUGUAGAGGUGAAAUUCGUAGAUAUUCGGAGGAACACCAGUGGCGAAGGCGGCUCACUGGUCCAUUACUGACGCUGAGGUGCGAAAGCGUGGGGAGCAAACAGGAUUAGAGACCCCCGUAGUCCCUGUCUCUUAUAC
rnacentral:rRNA from 1 species